AUGCGUGAUCAGGUCGGCGUGGACCUGGACGGCUUCCCACUUGACCACGAGUUUCCAGAUGACUACGGGCAAGAGGAAGAAGACGAGUGCGACAUCGAAGUGGAGCCUUUGUUUGAGGACGAGCUCGCCAACCAAGCCGCCGGGCCAAAGCCGAAGUGCAAGAGCAAGCGCACGAAGGCAUACACGGCGGUCGAGGACAAGCUUCUUUGCGAGUGCUGGAGGGACAUUGGACAAGACCCCAAGACCGGCGCCGAACAAAAGCAUUCAACUUUUUGGACUCGUGUCCACCGGGAGUUUCAUGAGCGCAAGAAAUUUCCUCCUUACCAAAUUGUGAGCACGCGUGGGUGGGUGUCCAUUUUGAAGCGAUGGAGAGUGAUCCAAUAA
rnacentral:rRNA from 1 species